rnacentral:rRNA from 1 species
UACAGAGGGGGCAAGCGUUGUUCGGAAUUACUGGGCGUAAAGGGCGCGUAGGCGGCCUGUUAAGUCAGACGUGAAAUCCCCGGGCUCAACCCGGGAACUGCGUCUGAUACUGGCAGGCUUGAAUUCGGGAGAGGGAUGCAGAAUUCCAGGUGUAGCGGUGAAAUGCGUAGAUAUCUGGAGGAAUACCGGUGGCGAAGGCGGCAUCCUGGACCGACAUUGACGCUGAACGGCGAAAGCUAGGGGAGCAAACGGG